rnacentral:rRNA from 1 species
AAGUCCAUCUUGAACGGGGCCAAGGUCCGGAGAGGGUGCCAGGCCCGUAGAUGACCGGUGCCGGCCCCGGGUGGGCGCCUCCUUAGAGUCGGGCUGCUUGAGAGUGCAGCCCUAAGCGGGUGGUAAACUCCAUCUAAGGCUAAAUACAACCACGAGACCGAUAGAGAACAAGUACCGUGAGGGAAAGUUGAAAAGAACUUUGAAGAGAGAGUUCAAGAGUACGUGAAACCGCUCAGGGGUAAACGGAAAAGACCCGAAACACCGAAAAGGGAGAUUCACGUCUCCUCGCCGGUUCCGGCACUGGGCCGGGGGAUGGCUUCACGCCCCGUCCGGUUCGUCCGCGGCGGUGGGUGGGCUGCCCCCUCCCGGGCGCGUGGUCCGGCGGGAGACCGCACUUCUCCCCCAGUAGGACGUCGCGACCCGCUCAGCGGCGGUCUAACGGCCGGUAGAAAGCCUGGCAGGGCCCCUUCCCCCCGUGGGUCGGCCCCUGCCAGUUCUCCGGACCCGCGGCCGUCGGUCAGGGCGGUAUGAACGAUGUUGGCGAUGGGCCGCUCCUUUCAGCGAGCGCCGGCGUCUCCCCGCAAGCCGGGGUGCGGAGGUCGGGCCGUAUCCUCACGGGUACGCCCGGCGCCCGCCCCGACUGCUGGCGGGCGAGUACUCAGGCAGCAGUCCAUCACGCCCGUCGGCGGCGCUUCAGAUUCGGGCACUUAUCCGACCCGUCUUGAAACACGGACCAAGGAGUCUAGCGUGUGCGCGAGUCAUUGGGUGAAAAACCUAAAGGCGCAAUGAAAGUGUCAGAGGGCGCUAAGCGCUCUCGGCGGGAGGAUGGGCCACCGGCCCCCCGGCCGGAGCCCCGCACUCCCGGGGCGUCUCAUUCUCUUCUCGAGUCGAGACGCACCAGGAGCGCACACGCUGUUACCCGAAAGAUGGUGAACUAUGCCUGGCCAGGACGAAGCCAGGGGAAACCCUGGUGGAGGUCCGAAGCGAUUCUGACGUGCAAAUCGAUCGUCUGAGCUGGGUAUAGGGGCGAAAGACCAAUCGAACUAUCUAGUAGCUGGUUCCCUCUGAAGUUUCCCUCAGGAUAGCUGGCUCUCGGGAAGAGACGAGUCUCAUCCGGUAGAGCGAAUGAUUAGAGGUGAUGGGGUCGAAACGACUUCAACCUAUUCUCAAACUCCCAAUAGAUGAGAGCCCCGGCUUGCUUGAAAGUGAAGCCGCGGGACUUGGAUCGGAGAGGCCAAGUGGGCCAAUUUUGGUAAGCAGAACUGGCGCUGUGGGAUGAACCAAACGCAGGAGUUAAGGCGCCUGAUUCGACGCUCAUCCGAAACCAUGAAAGGCGUUGGUUGCUUAAGACAACAGGACGGUGACCAUGGAAGUCGGGAUCCGCUAAGGAGUGUGUAACAACUCACCUGCCGAAGCAACUAGCCCUGAAAAUGGAUGGCGCUGUAGCGUCGUGCCUAUACUCCGCCGUCAACGGCAGAGCGGGCGGCCCCCCCGGGGGCGGCGCCGUUACGCCUUGACGAGUAAGAGGGUCGCGGCGGUGAGCGCGGAAGGGUCUGGGCGCGAGCCCGCCUGGAGCCGCCGCCGGUGCAGAUCUUGGUGGUAGUAGCAAAUACUCCAGCGAGGCCCUGGAGGACUGAUGUGGAGAAGGGUUUCUUGUGAACAGCUGUUGCACAAGAGUCAGUCGAUCCUAAGCCCUAGGAGAAAUCCGAAGCGAUGGUCUGCCGUUAACUCUCUUGUAAAUGGAACGCGCGGAGGAGAAGCAGAGGGAGGCGCGGAGUCUCAAAGGGGACCGACCGCUCGAAGCAGACGCGCGCGCGGCAAGUGAGCCCGCCGUAGCGACUCCACUGAGCCGGCCCCCCCUCCGCCCUCUCUCGCCCUCUCUCCGUCGUCGUUUUUAUUUUUUCCGAGCCGGCACCGUCUGGGCGAAAGGGAGUCUGGUUCCUAUUCCAGAACCCGGCCGCGGAACCGCUCCAAUUCGGGCCCUCAUCCGAGGACUCGUCGGGGUGACCCGAAAUGACCCGGAGAAGCCGUAGGGAGGUCCGGGGAGAGUUGUCUCUUCUCUAUAAGCGUUCGAGUUCCCUGGAAGCCUCUAGGAGGGAGAUAGGGUUUGGAACGCGAAGAGCACCGCACUUACGGCGGUGUCCGGAUCUUCCCCUCGGACCUUGAAAAUCCGGGCGAGGGCCACGAGGAACACCGCGCCGGCUCGUACCCAUAUCCGCAGCAGGUCUCCAAGGUGAAUAGCCUCUAGUCGGUAGAAUAAUGUAGGUAAGGGAAGUCGGCAAACCCGAUCUGUAACUUCGGGACAAGGAUUGGCUCUGAGGAUCGUGGCGCGCCGGGCUUGGUCGGGAAGUGGAGCGGUGCCAACGUGCCGGGCCUGGGCGAGGCGAAGGGCGCUCGUCGUCCGGACCCUAGCUCGGUCCCGUGCCUUGGCCACCCACGGAUCUUCCUUGCUGCGAGCCUCCGGGUGUCCGGUCGCCGGCUCCGCCGGUGGACGGCCCGG